rnacentral:rRNA from 1 species
AACGUAGGUACCGAGCGUUAUCCGGAUUUACUGGGCGUAAAGGGCGCGUAGGCGGCCUGCUAAGUCGAACGUGAAAUCCCCGAGCUCAACUCGGGAACUGCGUCCGAUACUGACAGGCUUGAAUCCGGGAGAGGGAUGCGGAAUUCCAGGUGUAGCGGUGAAAUGCGUAGAUAUCUGGAGGAACACCGGUGGCGAAGGCGGCAUCCUGGACCGGCAUUGACGCUGAGGCGCGAAAGCUAGGGGAGCAAACGGG